rnacentral:rRNA from 1 species
CAGGGAUUGCCUCAGUAACGGCGAGUGAAGCGGCAACAGCUCAAAUUUUAAAGCUGGCGUCUUUGGCGUCCGCGUUGUAAUUUGGAGAGGCAUCUUCGGUUUGGGCGCCAGCCUAUGUUCCUUGGAACAGGACGUCACAGAGGGUGAGAAUCCCGUGCCUGGCUGGCUGUCCCUUUCCAUGUGAAGUGCCUUCGACGAGUCGAGUUGUUUGGGAAUGCAGCUCAAAAUGGGUGGUAAAUUUCAUCUAAAGCUAAAUAUUGGCGGGAGACCGAUAGCGCACAAGUAGAGUGAUCGAAAGAUGAAAAGCACUUUGAAAAUAGAGUUAAAAAGUACGUGAAAUUGUUGAAAGGGAAGCGCUUGAGACCAGACUCGGCCGGAGAUGAUCAGCCGUCCUUCUGGGCGGUGCACUCGUUUCCGGCCGGGCCAGCAUCGGUUGAGACGGCGGGAUAAAGGCCCGGGGAAUGUGGCUCCUUUCGGGGAGUGUUAUAGCCCCGGGCGCAAUGCCGCCAGCCUCGACCGAGGACCGCGCUUAAUUGCUAGGAUGCUGGCGUAAUGGUCUUCAGCGACCCGUCUUGAAACACGGACCAAGGAGUCUAACAUCUAUGCGAGUGUUUGGGUGUCAAACCCUUGCGCGUAAUGAAAGUGAACGGAGGUGGGAACCCCUCGCGGGGCGCACCAUCGACCGGUCCUGAUGUCUUCGGAUGGAUCUGAGUAGGAGCAUAGCUGUUGGGACCCGAAAGAUGGUGAACUAUGCCUGAAUAGGGUGAAGCCAGAGGAAACUCUGGUGGAGGCUCGCAGCGGUUCUGACGUGCAAAUCGAUCGUCAAAUUUGGGUAUAGGGGCGAAAGACUAAUCGAACC